CUCUUCUUAGAUAUCUUGAUUCCUUGGUUGAUGUGAAGGCACACAGCAACACAUUCUCUCCAGUGACAUCCAUAUUGGGGGGCAAAGCGGCAGCGAUGGCUACACAAGGCGACACAUGAUUCUUGGACCGGGCCCUCCAGUAAACUCCAUAAGACCAUAAACAGCUGGUCCCCGAUUCGCCGAGCAAUCCAGCCGUCACCUGCUCACUUCAUUACGGAUCAGCGUGGAGCCGUGGACACAACCUAGCACCGGAAUCUCUCAAAAAAAAAAUCACACAAAUGCUUUCGGAAAGAAAUCAAAACAUGGUUGAAGUUGACAUAACACAAACCCGAACAGGAGCACGGGUGAGACUGAGAGUGCACGUCCCCCUUCCAGGAGAGAGGAGGAGAUGGGAGGGCGAAGCGCGCGGAGGAGUGGCUACCAGCUUGAGGCCUUAUGCCGCCGGCUUGACGGCGGCGAGUAGACGCCCGCUUGGGACGGCAAGGACUUUAUGCGUAGCAGCGGAUGGGCUCCGCGCUGCAUUUUCUGAGAGGCGGCGGUCCACAGAAUCGGGCUGCUGGGAUAGGACGA
rnacentral:lncRNA from 1 species